CCUUCUCCUCUAUUGUUCUUAUUCUUUGUUCUUGUUAGUUACCCUUUGUCCAAGUUCUUCUCUUCCUCAGUCCUCCUCCAGUGUCUGAGAGGAUAAGGACAGCUGUUAGAAUUUGGAUUGUAAGUGAAACCCACUUUUCAGCCUUCUUGUUUUCCCCUUCACCCAAGUUGCAGGAGGAGAGUUGGGUUGGUGGUUCCAUAAUUGACAUUUAUAAUUUGGCCCUAAGUCAUGAGAUACAUUAAUACUUUUCCAAACUGUCACUUUAGAAUUUGAUGUAGAGCUUCUAAAUAAAAGAAGUACGACGUUUAUUUGGCCAGAGUUGAGACUUUUGGUUUUCAUGGGCGGGAAGCAAUUCUCACUCUAAAAAGAUGUUUUUAAGUAUUCUUUUAUUGACCGAGACUGGAUCUUCUUUUUAUGUCAGCUGGAAACGUACUUGCGUAGUACAAGGCUUCUGUUACGAAAUAAAAUAAUUUGUUAAAGCUGUGUCCCCUUACAUUUUGCCUACAGAUAGCUGGCACAUGCCAUGAAAAAGAACAAGAAAUCAUUCUCAGAUGUUCCCUUACUUGUUGUCCAAAGCCAAAGGUCACCAUGUAGCAGCUUUUCUAAAUUAGGAAAUCUGAAAUCUGAUCACUCUAUAUAUAAUUAUUUCAGAAGAAGCAAUGUCUAAAUAGACCUCUGGGAAAAAGCUUUCAAGGUGUUUUAUUUGAUACUGAAUGUAUUUUUUUUUUAAUUGAAGGAGGAGCUAAGUAGUAAAAGGAGAAGCUGGCUUUACUCAUAAAGUAUAAGGAUAAACUCCUCCCCUGCGAUGUGCUUUAUCAACAUCCUGAGAAGAUGCUUUCUGAGGCACCAUUAAUUAAUGCGUACCUGGGUGAUUCUCUUCUAUGGCCAACAGUCAAUCAAUGAUAUAACAUUUCCUACACAUCUUCCCACGUCCUUAAUUGAGAUGGUCAAUAAUUGUGCCCCUUCCUUAUCAAUUCAUAGAUGGGAGGAAAUAAAGUUUGGGGCUCCAUAAAGUCAGCACAAUGAGAGACAUAUGGAAGUUCCCAAGCUAGGGGGUUGAAUUGCAUCUAUAACCUACACCACAGCUUGCAGAAAGCACUGGAUCUUUAACCUACUGAGUAAGGCCAGGGAUCAAACCCCCAUCCUCACGGACACUAUGUCAGGUUCUUAACCUGCUGAGCCAGAACAAGAACCCCCCAGACCCUUGUAUCUUAAGAUUGUUCCUUUGACCCUUUAAAGGCAUCUAGGAGAACCUUUUGUGGAUAUGACCUGUGAGCUACAUCAUCUUAAUAGUUGAACACUAAGAACCAAAGUAUUACUACGAAGCCAACUGGUGUCUAGGGUUUUGUUUAGCUGUUCCUCUGAGAUGAAAAUGCAAGCAACUAUAGCAGGAUUGUAUUUAAGUGUGGCUCUUUUCACUAGCUUAUUCCCUUCCAGUGUUAUGCAAGUGCUGCCAGUUAUAUGUCCACUACCCUCUAUUAUUUCUUUUUAAUUAUUUUGUAAGAAUAACUCUAAUUAGCUUCCAUUUGUUAUAUUUUCUCAUUUAAAAGUAAUUUAAAUUUCGCUCGUGGUAUCUUCAAGCAAUAUAUUAUUGUUAAAAGGGGGAUUUGCAAAUGACACCAUCUGCCAACCAGAGGAAAGCAUAGCACUAUGUCUACACAAAGAAUACCAAUGUAUUGUUAUGUUGUGAGAUCUUGAUUUAACCCACUGAUUUUUUAAAAAUACCAACAAUUUCUAAAGAAAUAGUCAUUUCAAUUAAUAGUAUACAGUAGCUAGUUAUAGAUACAAUUUUAAGCAAGAUUUUAUAAGCACCAACACUUAGGAACAAAAAAAUUAUGUUUGAAAACUGGGAACCUUAUAAAAAUGAAGGAAACAUGGGCACUGGAAUCACACAGUUGGGUUCAAGUUCCAGCUACAAACCUGUCUUACUGACAAGGGAAUGAGAAUUGUAACUUAGCUUGUAUCAGUAGACUCAUUGCCAAUAUUAAUUCUCAUCGAUAGAUACAGAUAGGCAAGUAAGACUCGUCAGUGUGUGAGGAAAACCAACUGGUAAUAUUGUCACCGAACUCAACUGACAAAUGAAGUCACUAUAAUUUAUCUUUUUUUUCACUGUGGCAUUGUCGCAAUAGCAACGUAUGCCCAUCAAUAUAACUUAAUGGUUGCAUUAAUUGUUCUACAUCUCUCUUUUCGACUAUUAAUGGGGCUAUGGCAAAGAACAUCGCACGUUUAUAUGUAUUUUCAUAGAAAGAAAAACAGAAUAUAUUCUUAAGUAGAAAAAAUAAAUUUCAGAACCUUAUGAAGUAUGACUGUGUUUUUGUUGACACAAUACAAACAUAUUCAUAUAUACAAGUAAAUCCUCAGUAAAAGGCCUGGAUCAAUGUAAUGAAGCUCUUACAGUGGUCACCUCUGCAAGGGGAAGUGGAUGAGGUGGAGGUGGGGGCGUUGCUGCGUGAAGGGAGGCUUCAUUCUGUUCAAUUCUAUAGUCUAUGUUAUUUGGGUUGGUUUUUGAAGUAAAGAUAUAUUCAUAUAUUUCUUCCAUAAGGAAAACAUUUUAAAGUCACCCAAAAUAGUAUGUUUAAUUAUUAAGUCAGUGUAGAAUUGUUUUUAAAAGUUCCUUUUUUUUUGGCUAUAUCUCACCCCAUGUGGAUAUUCCUAGGCCAGGGCUCAAACCCACCUCACAGGAGCAACCCAAGCCACAGCAGUGACAACACAGGAUCCUUAACCUGCCACAAGAGAACUACUAAAACUCGAUUUCUUGGAGUUCCCAUUUUGGUGCAGCAGGAUUGGCAGCCUCUCUAGUGCCAGGACACAGGUUCAAUCCCCAGCCCAGCUGGGCACAGUGGGUUAAAGAGUCUCAGAUCUGAUUCCUGGCUGGGGAAUCCUUAUGCUAUGGGGUGGCCAAAAAUAAGAGAGAGAGAGAAAGAGAGAGAUAGAGGAAAGUUCUUGAGGUAGUAUACAUCUCUCUACAGGAUCCUAUAACAUUUUGAUUCUUUUUUAACCUGCUUUACUUUCCGAAUCCCAGAAUAACAUAUUACUGAGAAGAACAGAAACAUUUCUUCCUAAAUCCACUGAUUGGGAGCCCAUCAUGAGCCUGAGGUAGUCAUAAUGUAACCCAGCUAUUGCCUACCAGACAUUACCUGGUCAUAUAAAGUAGGACCCAAAAGAAUGUUUAGAAAAUGGUCAUAGGAUGUCAUAGGCACAUGGAGAGGCACCUGGUCAUAUAAAGUAGGAACCAAAAGAAUGUUUAGAAAAUGGUCAUAGGAUGUCAUAAGCACAUGGAGAGGCUGGGACAUUUUCUGUGAGGAAGGCAAGAUUGACCACCUAGGGCGAGAAGCCAAAACCAAGCAUUGAAAGAAAGAGACAUUCUUAUGGGCAAAGACAGAGGUGAUGUUUAAGGCCUAUUCAGGGGGCAGAGAUCAAGACAAAUGAAAUGCAAAGUUAAGCAUUUUCGAGAAACUUUGGGAGAAAAUGACAAGUUGUCGUGAACUGGGAAUGGACUUGUAUACCAAAUGCAAAUGUCGAAUUGGAGCUGCCAGGGGAGGUGACAAGUGGCAUAAAAAUAGAUGCUGUAUACUGAAGUGACAGAGCUAGUUUGGGAUAGAAUUGAGAAUGACAACUGUGUACAUUAUGUUUAGGUUUUGAAAACAGAAGUGUAAUAUACUAAAAGGACCAGGGUUGAGAAAACCAAGAGCUAUAUUCUCCCCUCCCUCUGCUUUUCUGGGUGGAUCUGUGUCAUGGUUUCCUUUCUUUCUGCACAUGAGCUUGUGCAGGCCACGCAGUCCACCCUGCCAUAGAUGGCCACUCCCCCAGCUCCCCCCCUGCAUGGUGUAGUCCUGUAGACAUAAGUACUGGAGUCCCUCUCACCCAAUCUCUCAUCACACCAGGAGAGAGAUCUGAUAUGCCAAGCUUGCUCCUAGAACCCAUCCAGUUAUUUUCCAGUGAUUGCAUCAUGACCCCUGUGCAUUCACCCCAAAAUGGGGAUGCAGUUUGCAGGGAAAGUGGGAGAUUGACUUGUGAAUCGGAUACCUUCCCUAUCUAUUAAAUAUAUGACUGUUAGCUGUACAAUAGCCAUUGUAGAUAGUUCCCUUUUGAAACUAUCUUCAAUAAAAAUAUUAUGAAGACAUAUCUUGUGACAAAGCAUUGGUCCCAUGUCACUGCUCACACCAGUUCACCAUCAAUAACUGCAAUUUUUAUUUCAUGGACUCCUCAGGUAUGAGAGAAAAUAAGUCAAAAGGGAAACAAAGAGCCUUCCAUCUAAUCAAGGAAUAUUGAAGUCAAUCUUGGGGGAUUUUUUUCCCAUUUUUCUAAUGGAGACUGUGUCUUGAGCCAUGGCUUUCUACAUCUUAAUCUACUUAAAUGUUGUAAUCAACUGGUAUCUACAGGCUUUGAUUGCUCUUUUUCUGCCCCAUUUUACAAAUGGAAAAGAGAAGCACUUAAAGUGUCUCAAAGCUACAGGAGACUGAGGAAAAUAGACUCAAAUCAAUAAACACAUAACUUUAAAGAAAAUUCCAGAGCCCAGAAAAGGCUCUGAUACUAGAAAGAAGGCCUAGAAGAAACAAGAAGCUAUAAACUAUGAUAAGUAAGCAAUGUAAAAGUUUAACAAUUGUGAAAGGCAGCUAUUGAAGGGGUGAAUUUGUCAGCAACCCUGCAGUUAACUGGCUAGUCACUUGUAUGAUGAUAAGUCACUUGUACUAUGAUUAGUUCAGAGACAGGCAAUAUCCAAGGUGAGUGGACAUGUUCAACAAUUUGUGUAUUCUGGUAUAGGGACAUUAUCCCUAAAUUGAGCAGUUAAAAGAGAAUUUGUUGUAAAAGGGAAAAUAGCAUUUAUAGACACAGUCACGUAAAGGAGAGUGGAAUUACAAGAUUAAGUAAAUAAAACCAAAGCUAGAAUGUAAUUUAUUUUAAGUAACACAUGAAUGGCAUAGAAGUAAGGAUCAAAAUGGGUUGCAGCAACUCCGAGUUAUGAGGAAGCAAGAACUAUAGUAAAGCAGAAGCUACACAGAAUGAAAUGGUAAAAAUUAGUGAAUUUGAGGUGGGACGCCAUAGAGUAGAACUGAGUCUGUUAAAAAUGAAGAGUAUUCCUCAUGUGUAUGGUUUUCAUUCAGAUCCGUAGGUACUCACUGGGUU
rnacentral:lncRNA from 1 species